UAAUGACAGUAGAGAGCAGGAUACGACCACGUAAACGUGAGCACACUGUAACAGAACCCGGACUUGUUCUUACAAAAUAAACCGGAUUUGAUAACGAAGUGAUACGUCCGGAACUUUUUGUGUAGUAGUAAUUGAAGAGGAUUAGCUGCUUGAUGCCGGUUUUCGGUAAAGAAAAAGCGCCCAAGAGGAAGAAGAAAGAAGAAAGAAGAGAGAGAGAGUCGCCGCCGUGUAGUUUCUCUCUCUAAAAACCCUAAUUGAUUCAUCUAAUCCAUAUCAAUAUUUGUUUGGACAUUGGAUUGCUUUGUUUGGUUGAUUAAUUGGAGAGUUCAACGACGGAGUAAAGAUGGAUUUGGUUGCUAGCUGCAAGGAUAAGUUGGCAUAUUUUCGGAUAAAGGAGCUCAAAGAUGUUCUGACUCAACUUAGUCUCUCGAAGCAAGGGAAGAAGCAGGACCUUGUUGAUCGCAUAUUAGCUACACUCUCUGAUGAACGAGUUUCAGGAAUGUGGCCAAAGAAAAACAGUGUUGCGAAGGAAGAUGUUGCAAAACUUGUUGAUGACAUUUACAGAAAAAUGCAGGUAUCUGGGGCAACUGACCUAGCAUCGAAGUCACAAGUCGUCUCGGAUACCAGUAAUGUGAAGUUGAAGGAGGAAGUUGAUGACUCUUACCAUAUGAAAAUUCGCUGUGUGUGUACAAGCUCGUUACAAACUGAAACAAUGAUUCAGUGUGAAAACAGAAGAUGUCUCACGUGGCAACAUAUUCGUUGUGUUGUCAUACCCGAUAAGCCAAUGGAGGGUGGUGAUCCACCAAUUCCGCCUACAACUUUUUACUGUGAAUUGUGCAGACUGGUUCGCGCCGACCCUUUCUGGGUGACAAUGGGACACCCUUUAUAUCCCGCAAAGUUGGCCAUUACCAGCGUUCCUGCCGAUGGCACGAACCCUGUGCAGAGUAUUGAGAAAACAUUUCAGAUCACUAGAGCAGACAGAGACUUGUUGGCAAAACAGGAAAAUGAUCUCCAGGCUUGGUGCAUGCUUCUCAAUGACAAGGUACAAUUUAGGAUGCAGUGGCCUCAAUAUGCAGAUUUGCAGGUGAAUGGGGUUCCAGUGCGCGCGAUAAAUAGACCUGGCUCUCAAUUGCUCGGUGCUAAUGGUCGAGAUGAUGGCCCUAUAAUCACACCAUGCACCAGAGAUGGAAUCAACAAGAUCACAUUAACAGGAUGUGAUGCUCGUGUCUUUUGCUUAGGGGUCAGACUUGUGAAGCGGCGUACUGUUCAACAGGUUCUUAGUAUGAUUCCAAAGGAGUCAGAUGGUGAGCAAUUUGAAGACGCUCUUUCUCGCGUUCGUCGUUGCGUUGGUGGUGGGACGGCCACUGAAAAUGCUGAUAGUGAUAGUGAUCUGGAAGUGGUUGCUGAUUGUAUUCCUGUCAAUCUUCGGUGCCCUAUGAGUGGUUCAAGGAUGAAAGUUGCUGGUAGAUUCAAACCUUGUAUACACAUGGGCUGCUUUGAUCUUGACGUCUUUGUUGAAAUGAAUCAAAGGUCGAGGAAGUGGCAAUGCCCCAUCUGUCUCAAGAACUACUCUUUGGAGCAUGUCAUCAUAGAUCCGUAUUUCAAUCGAAUUACUUCUCAGAUGCGAAGUUGUGGAGAAGAUGUUACAGAAAUUGAAGUGAAACCUGAUGGUUCUUGGCGCGCAAAGACAGAAGGUGAUCGAAGGAGUCUUGGGGAUCUUGGGCGUUGGCAUUUACCUGAUGGGUCUCUGAGUGAAUCUCUAGAUAUAGAGUCAAAGCCUAAGCCUGAAAUUCUUAAGCAGGUUAAACAGGAAGGAGGCUCUGAUGGAAAUGGCCUUAAAGUUGGAUUGAAGAAGAACAGAAACGGAUUGUGGGAAAUCAGCAAACCUGAAGACCAAACAUUUUCAUCCGGAAAUAUAUCAAGAGAAAAUUUUGGUCAGGAUGUCAUUCCAAUGAGCAGCAGUGCCACUGGGAGUGGCAAAGAAGGUGAAGAUCCCAGCGUUAAUCAAGGUGGUAAUGGGAACCUUGACUUCUCGAACAAUGCGUUUGAUCUUGAGGCCAUGUCUCUUAAUAUUGACCCAACAUAUGGUUUUGGCAACGGAAAUCCGUCAGUACCAGCAGGAGAUGCUGAAGUUAUUGUACUAAGUGAUUCUGAAGAAGAAAAUGAGCCAAUUAUCCCAUCUGGAGCUAUCUUUAACAACCAUAGUGAUGCACCUGUAGUUUCUUUUCCAGCUCAGCCACAAGGAAUUCCGGAUUCUUUUCAUGAUUCUGCGCUUGUUAACGGUGGGAAUUCAUGCCUGGGGCUGUUCAAUUCUAAUGAUGAUGAUUUUGGGAUGAACAUGUGGUCCUUGCCUUCUGGAACCCAAGGUGGCCCUGGUUUUCAGUUAUUUAGUUCUAAUGCUGAUGUUUCAGGAUCUUUAGAUGUGCAGCAUGGUUCUAUUAACUGUACCAGUUCUAUCAGUGGGUAUGGUUUGGCUGGAGAUACUGGCAUUGGAUCUGCUUCUCUUCUUCCUGGAACAUACGCCGAUCCCCCUAAUGCUAAUAUGAAUGACAGUUUAGUUGAUAAUCCCCUAGCAUUUAGUGGUAAUGAUCCCUCACUUCAGAUAUUUCUUCCCACUAGACCAUCAGAUAUGUCAGUGGAAGCUGCGAGGGAUCCGCCUGAUGUUUCAAAUGGCGUUGGUACUGAGGAUUGGAUCUCACUUAGGCUUGGUGGUGAUGGAGGGGUUGAUGGUGAUUCUGCAGUUGCAAAUGGGGUAAGCUCUGGGCAGCAAGUACAAACAAAAGACACUGCCUUGAACUCAUUGGCUGACACUGCUUCAUUGCUUCUUGGUAUGAAUGAGAGCAGAUCAACUAAGAGCAGUAGAGAACGAUCAGACAGUCCUUUUACAUUUCCUCGUCAACGUCGUUCUGUAAGACCAAGAUUGUAUUUAAGUAUUAAUUCGGAUUCUGAAUAGGAGCAGAUUGGUGGUGGCAGAACAGUGAUCACUUUUGCUAAGCAAAGUAUGUGGAUGUGACCAGUUGAGCUCUUGCUAGUGAACACAUAUCAGGCAACAUGAAACUGUCCUCUUACAUCUGUGCUGGCACUGCAGGAGUUUUCUCUUAGUGGACCAAAUCACAUUUUUUCCUCUUCCAUUUCGCGGAUGAUUCCUUGGAAGGUGACUCGCUGGUGAACUGUACAUUUGGACAGCUUAGCUCAGGACAAAAAGUUCUAGUAACAUCCACUGGUUAAUCAACUCUGGAUAUAGCGGGGGAGGCAUUUUAGCGCUUCAAAAUCUCCUCUAGCCAUGUGUGAUGCCAGUAGCCUGUAAAUCAGUUUAAACUAAUUUAUAAAAUGUAGUAGAAUAUUUCUGAAUGUGUUAAUCGUUAGUGGACUUUUUAAGGCCUGGUUGUGCCUCGGGGCACACAAAGUGAGGAGGUUCAAUCUCCUGAAGUUUUGUUCCGGGGGAAGGUAAGAUGAAAUAACGGUGGCACUUUCUUUGUUCCAGUCCAUGCAUUUGUAAUGAGAAGGGAAUGUGGAACCCACUAUAGAGUUGUAUGAUUGUGUCGAUAAGAAUGCAGAGAACUAUGCCCAACCCUUGCUACCGUUUGGUGUUGGCUAUCUUGUGAGAA